UAAAUACAUUGCGCAGCAGGUGCCCCACGGGGAGAAUAGGGAACCGGGUGAGAAUCCCGGGCGGUCCCGCCACUGUAACCGGGGUAGCCCCCGCCGAAACGCCACUGGGUAAAACCGGGAAGGCGGUGGUACGGGCGAUUGAUUCGGAAGCCAGGAGACCUGCCUGCUUGCGCGAUGCGCC
rnacentral:ncRNA from 2 species